rnacentral:rRNA from 1 species
UACAGAGGUCCCAAGCGUUGUUCGGAAUUACUGGGCGUAAAGGGCGCGUAGGCGGCGUGUCAAGUCAGGCGUGAAAGCCCCGGGCUCAACCUGGGAACCGCGCUUGAGACUGGCAUGCUCGAGUUCGGGAGAGGAUGGUGGAAUUCCCAGUGUAGAGGUGAAAUUCGUAGAUAUUGGGAAGAACACCGAUGGCGAAGGCAGCCAUCUGGACCGACACUGACGCUGAGGCGCGAAAGCGUGGGGAGCAAACAGG